CUUCAGUGAUGAUUUGAUGACGAGUCAGACCAGGCCACCUCUUGCCUCUGGAGUCCAGGCCCAGGGCCACGUUCUGUGACUCUAGGUCCAGACCCCAUGGCAAUGUGACCUUAUCACUUGAUGAUCUUGAGGCAUUUGUCUGAGAAGG